rnacentral:rRNA from 1 species
GCUAGUAAUGGCAGGUCAGCAUACUGCCGUGAAUACGUUCCCGGGCCUUGUACACACCGCCCGUCACACCAUGAGAGUUGGGGAUACCCGAAGCCUGUGAGCUAACUUUUAGAGGCAGCAGUCGAAGGUAGAAUCAAUGAUUGGGGUGAAGUCGUAACAAGGUAUC